ACUCCUGCGGGAGGCAGCAGUGGGGAAUUUUGGACAAUGGGCGAAAGCCUGAUCCAGCAAUGCCGCGUGAGUGAAGAAGGCCUUCGGGUUGUAAAGCUCUUUUGUCAGGGAAGAAACGGUGAAAGCUAAUAUCUUUUGCUAAUGACGGUACCUGAAGAAUAAGCACCGGCUAACUACGUGCCAGCAGCCGCGGUAAUACGUAGGGUGCAAGCGUUAAUCGGAAUUACUGGGCGUAAAGCGUGCGCAGGCGGUUUUGUAAGUCUGAUGUGAAAUCCCCGGGCUCAACCUGGGAAUUGCAUUGGAGACUGCAAGGCUAGAAUCUGGCAGAGGGGGGUAGAAUUCCACGUGUAGCAGUGAAAUGCGUAGAUAUGUGGAGGAACACCGAUGGCGAAGGCAGCCCCCUGGGUCAAGAUUGACGCUCAUGCACGAAAGCGUGGGGAGCAAACAGGAUUAGAAACCCUUGUAGUCC
rnacentral:rRNA from 1 species